rnacentral:rRNA from 1 species
GACGAACGCUGGCGGCGUGCUUAACACAUGCAAGUCGAACGGAAAGGCCCUGCUUUUGUGGGGUGCUCGAGUGGCGAACGGGUGAGUACAACUGAGUAACCAGCCCCUUAUCUUGGGGUUACAUCUGGGAAACGGGGGCUAUAACGGCAUAGAAUUUCUGCAGCCAGGUGGGGGAUUGGAAGUUUUGGCGGUUGGGGUUGGUCUUGGGGCUUAUCCGCUUGCUGGUGGGGUUGGGGCUUACCAAGGCUUUGAAGGGUAGCCGGCCUGAGAGGGUGACCGGCCACAUUGGGACUGAGAUACGGCCCAGACUCCUACGGGAGGCAGCAGUGGGGAAUAUUGCACAAUGGGCGGAAGCCUGAUGCAGCAACGCCGCGUGCGGGAUGACGGCCUUCGGGUUGUAAACCGCUUUCGCCUGUGACGAAGCGUGAGUGACGGUAAUGGGUAAAGAAGCACCGGCUAACUACGUG